rnacentral:rRNA from 1 species
AAACAGGUUAAUAUUCCUGUACCGAUCUAUAGUGCGAUGUGGGACGGAGAAGGUUAGCUCAGCCAACUGUUGGAUAUGUUGGUUCAAGCAUGUAGGCGUGCUCUUUAGGCAAAUCCGGAGAGCUUAGCUGAGGUGUGAUAACGAGUCUGCUUGCAGACGAAGUGAGUGAUACCCUGCUUCCAGGAAAAGCCACUAAGCUUCAGCUAUAGAUUGACCGUACCGCAAACCGACACUGGUGCGCGAGAUGAGUAUUCUAAGGCGCUUGAGAGAACUCUGGAGAAGGAACUCGGCAAAUUGACACCGUAACUUCGGAAGAAGGUGUGCCUUUAGUAGGUGAACCAUUGACUUGGGGAGCCCAAUGAGGUCGCAGAGAAUCGGUGGCUGCAACUGUUUAAAUAAAACACAGCACUCUGCAAAGACGAAAGUCGACGUAUAGGGUGUGACGCCUGCCCGGUGCUGGAAGAUUAAUUGAUGGGGUGCAAGCUCUUGAUCGAA